rnacentral:rRNA from 1 species
CGGGCAUAGCAAUAUGUCAGCGGCAGACGGGUGAGUAACGCGUGGGAACGUACCUUUUGGUUCGGAACAACUGAGGGAAACUUCAGCUAAUACCGGAUAAGCCCUUACGGGGAAAGAUUUAUCGCCGAAAGAUCGGCCCGCGUCUGAUUAGCUAGUUGGUGAGGUAAUGGCUCACCAAGGCGACGAUCAGUAGCUGGUCUGAGAGGAUGAUCAGCCACAUUGGGACUGAGACACGGCCCAAACUCCUACGGGAGGCAGCAGUGGGGAAUAUUGGACAAUGGGCGCAAGCCUGAUCCAGCCAUGCCGCGUGAGUGAUGAAGGCCCUAGGGUUGUAAAGCUCUUUUGUGCGGGAAGAUAAUGACGGUACCGCAAGAAUAAGCCCCGGCUAACUUCGUGCCAGCAGCCGCGGUAAUACGAAGGGGGCUAGCGUUGCUCGGAAUCACUGGGCGUAAAGGGUGCG